CGUUUGAAUCGGGUUGAAAGGAGGAAAGCAUCUCGGUCGUUGUUGACAACGGUGUGGUUCACUGGCAAAGUGAGGUCUGGCUUUAUGGAGUGGGGGUGAAGAAACAUACAAUAAGUACGCGAUAGUGGAUGGUCAAACAUGCUCGACCUGACGCGCCGUCAUGUUGUCCGCGACACGACGCGGAGAGCCGCCAGCAACUGACAACAAACGGGAAACGUGAAUGUUUGCUAGGUGGCUAACGCUAGCAAGGUUAGCUCCCGUGGCGCCGUCUGUUGCUGCAACGUUAAAGCUGCUAACAGAGCCGUGACACCGCCGCGGUUGGCAGUUCCUGUUCAGUUGCACCAUGUCCUCCAACGACGACGACGCUCGUGUCCUGGUUUUAGAAGAGCAAGUGAAGAGUUUAUCAGACGAGUUGAUGCAAUGUCAGGCAGACAAGGAGUUUGUGUGGUCCCUAUGGAAACGCCUGCAAGUGGCAAAUCCAGACUUGACCCAGGCUGUCAGUUUGGUGGUUGAGCGUGAGAAGCACAAAGCGGAGGUGAAGGACAGGAAAGUGUUGGAGAUCCUCCAGGUCAAGGACUACAAGAUACAGGAGCUGGAGCAGAAAGUGACAGGGCAGCAGCAAGAGAUUAACAACUUGGUGCCGGGGAAGACGACAGUGGAUGAGGACAGUGCAAUAAUAAAGAAGGAGCUGACAGCUCUGCGUGAACAACUGGUCGAAAAGAAUGAGGAACUUAAGGAAAUGAAGACGCAGUGUAGGAGGAAAGGGGAGAAGGAUCGGCAGGUGGUGCAGGCUCUAGAGGAGGAGAAAGAGGGAUUAACUUCCCGCUGUGCUGCCCUACAAGCUGACCUGGAGGAGAAACAGAGGCAGGCCAACAGCCAACGAGACCAGAGGGAUGCUGCCCAGGCCAGAGUCAGGGAGCUUGAGGAGGCGCUACAUAAUGCCUGGCAGAAAUUGUCUAGCGCGCAGAGCUGCGGCAGCAGUCUGGAGGGCCAGCUUUCUACCAAAGAGAGGGAGGCGUCUGCAAAAGAGGGGCAACUCAGUCAACUUCGUCGGGAGUUUGCAGAAGUGCAGACUCUUUACAGACAGAGCACAGAGCACGCGGCAGAGCAGAGCCAUCUGAUCAAGCAACUGGAAGGACUCAACCUAGACACACAGAGAGUCCUGAGGAACCAAGAAGAGGCACAUUCUGCUGACACCACCUCCUAUCAGAGGCUGUACAAGGACUUGAGUCAAUGUUACCAGGCCCUCGUGUCUAGUGAGGCGAACCUCCGUCAGAGUCACCAGGAGCUAAGCAGCCAGCUAGCUCAGAAAGACCAACACAUCCUGCAUCUCCAGGCACAGCUUCAACAGCAGCAGCAGCAGCAGCACGAGCAAAUUCGACAACAGCAGCAACAACAGCCUCAGCCGACAACUCACCCAUCGCUCAACAGACAAACCAACCUUAAGGCGCUGGUGUCAGAGCAGGCUAAUGCCGCAGCUCAGACGCGAAGCCCUAACUCUGACCAGAACUCCAUCCAAGGUGCAGAGGACAAGACCCUACAGAGCAGAUUCACCAGCUCCGUCAGAAGACAGCAGGGUGCACCUGUGCAGCGGUCCAGGUCUCUGUCCCCAGCCAGCAGUGUGGAGUUGGGUAGUGGACGGAGAAGAGGAGCAGAACAGAGGAUUCAAGACCUUGAAGAGCUCCUGCAAUUAAAGAUGGAGGAGAAUGAAGAGCUGAGGAGGGCUCAUGAUAAACGCCGUGAACGCCUGUGUCUGAUUCAGACCAACUACAAGACCGUCAGAGACCAGCUCAAAGAGAUGGAAAAAUCAAAAGGCUUGCCAGGUGGAAGGAUGCAGCGUGCCGAGCCGUGGCAGCUAAGACAAGAGAACAGUGAUGCAGUGUGGAAUGAACUGGCCUACCUGAAAAACCUCACCAGGAAACUCUCCACUGAAAAAGCCAGCUUGGAGGAGCAGAGGGACAUGUUACGAGUCCAGGCUGCUAUGGACCGGGCCACGGUGAAGGAGCUCCACCUGUAUCUUGCAAAUGAACACCGAGAAUUGCUUCACAAAGUGGUAGAGGAACGCCAGGUCAAAAGCAGCACUCCGAAAAAGCCUUCUGUUUCUUCAGAGCGAAUGGAGCAGUCAUUUAAAAAGAUUGAGCAGCUGGAGUGGAGGGUAAUGUCCCUGGACGAGGAGACGGAGAGGCUGAGAGAAGAGAAAGAACAGCUACAUGAGGCCAACAAAGACUUGGCCCUCAACUGCCGCAGACUCCAAGCCUCUGUGGAUCACCUGCGAACCCAGGAAGCCGUUCGUGAAGAGGCAGCCCAGACACAGGCCCUGGCCCAAGGGGAGCAGCAUCGCAAAGAGAUGAUGGCUCUAGAAGCCCGUCUCGCUGCAUCUCAGAAAGAGGCUACAAAGCUUCAUCAACAGUUGCUGAAGCUUAGACAGGAGCUGGGGAUUGUCAGAGCGGCCAGGGACUUCUAUAGGAACCGUGCCGCAGGGCCUGGGCGGGCAGGGGGGAUCGCUAGCAACAUUAGCAGCAAGGUUAAAUUCAAAACAACAAGGCUCAGAGGUCCACUACGCCAGUGCAGCCACCGAGCAGUCAGCCCCAAUCAAGCCAUCAGCUGGCAAGGCCGCAGCCCCAGUCCCACUAAGGACGAGUGGGAGGACAUGAGUGUCGAUAGUGACAGUGGUGAAGAGUACUCGGACAGUCUCAACAGUGUGCCCUCAGGGACAGCAGCUCGCAGACAUCAUGCUAACACCAAGUCCUACAGGUGUUCACUGAUCUCCAACUCAAAACCUCCAGCAGCAGAAUCUCGCAGAAAACAACCCUAUGUUGUGGCCCAAGACGAUAAACAGCAUGAGCUCUGGGAACGAGGGAUGAGGGGAGAGGAAAGGAGGUGUAGGAGAAAGAGGAUGCUGAUGAAGACCCAGCGCUGCUCCUCCUCCGCUCUGCAGCAGCGCAUAGAGUCCCUACAGCGUCACAUCGACAUACUGCAAAGUGCCAGGAAAGAUGCUGUGCUCUCAGCCAAAGAGCUGCGGAGGGCCAAUGAGAAGAUCGCGGCACAGCUCAACUCCCUCAAUGAGAAGCUCUGCAGCAGCAAGCAGCUCAUACAGAAGCUGACCUCUGACCUGGCUGGCGUGGUGCAGCAGAAGAAGGUUCUGGAGAUGGAGCUGGAGCAGUGGAGGCAGAUCACUUUCCCCCAGCAAACUGCACCACCUCCACCACCAAUAGCACCUGUAAACGCAGAGUGCUCCUGCCAGGGCAGAACCAUGCCCUCCCCAGCUAACCCUGCCCCCCAGGCCCUGGAGGCUGAGGUCAAACAACUUCAAGCCAAACUUAAGAGUGCAAGUGCGGAGGUCACGAGGCAGGUGGCAGCGAACAAAGCCCUGCGAGGCCAACUCCAGGAGAAGGAAGAGAAGCUCUGCCAGCUGCAGGACAAGACGAGCCACACAGAGAGAGAUGUCAACAUGAAAAGGCAGCUGGUGGAGGACCUGAAGACGAGACUGAAGUUCCUGCAGGAGAUGGAGAAGAGUUACAGAGGACAAGUGGAGGAGCUGGAGAAGAAGGUGAAAACAUUAUCAGAGGAGGCCACCAACCGGAAGGCCCUCAUUGAAUCUCUAAAGAGAAGACUGAAUGUCGCAACCACAGAGAAAAACCAGCAUGAGGCCUCCAGCACAAAACUGAAAGAGGACCUGGAAAAAAAGGAGCAGCGGAUUCAUGCCCUACAGGCCCGUGUGGGGUCCAGUGAGCAGGGUUUGGCUGCACUGGAACAGACAGCCAAUGAGCAAAUGGAAAGGUUGACCCAGAAGAGUUCCCAUGCCUUGGAAAGGCUCCAGAGACAGCUAGGCGUCGCCUACUCCCAGCUGGAGCAGCUCCAUUCUUUCAUCAAGACAAACUGCAACACUCCACAUAUUGUCCGCUGCAGGCCUCUAACAACUCACUCAGCAUGUGCCAGGGAGAACCACCACUUUCUCAACUGCAUCUGUUCCAACUGUAUGAAACGAGGAUUUUUGAAAUUGAGAUGUUUAUAGCCAUUCAACAUUGCUCAUGUGUUAUCACCCUCGUUACUGUAAACCAAAUUCAUACAUAUGUUUAUACUUUUGUUUGUGUUUGUUUGUUCACAAUGUACUUCUCGCCUGCUUAGUUAUAUUGUGCAAUGUCCAGGAGUAAGUUGUACUUUUUUUUUUUUUUUUUUGUGUGUGCUGCGAGUUCUCCUGUCUCUGGCUUUCCCUCCUCUGACCAUCUAUUCCAAGGUCAGCUUUCCAGCAGGCUUACAGGGGAAUGAUACAGAAGAUUAUUGCCUCGAUCAAUAAGCUCAAAAUGAAGCAAAGGGGAGUUUACUUUAUUGACUUUCCUGUGUACAGUGGCAGUUUUAACAUUUAAUUGUCUCUCUGUAUUUAGAGCAAACUCCCAUUUAGUGCCAGACAACUGUGCCAUCCCAGGCCUUCCUCGUCUCACUUGCCAUUCACUUGGGCACCAUUUGAAACAGCCCCUCGAAGCUUAAUUAUUAACAGUGUUAUGCUGCCUUGUUGUACUGUGAGACAUUCAGAAAGCAAAUAAAUAAAUGAAUGGCUGUAUUUUCACUAGCUCACUGUCUUUCUCUCUCUGAUGCAUGAUUCUCUGUUUGUGGAGAUUUUAGCAAAACUUGGGGUAGGUUUGAUAUCAAAGCUCUGUUCCUUUCAAUCGACAGGGCAACAAACCCUCAGGUCCAUAUUCCUACAAGGGAGCGUGAGGCGAAACCGAAGAGAAUCUGAGCCCUGGCCAGUGAAAUACUUUUAGACGUUCAAGAGGUCAAGCAGCAGUUGAUGAAGAGGAGGAGGUUGAGGCAGGCCAACGCUGUGGCAGUAAAGGGCGGCCUCUCAGCCAAGUCUAUGAUCAAAGCCAAGUCCAUCGCGGCCUCCAUUCUCAAUAUGUCAGAGAAUGAUCUCGCGGACAUAAUGGACACGGAUCAG